CAGGGUCCAAAACUCACAGCACACUUCAGCUCGCGAGCCGAACAGGAUAAACAUUUAUUGAACUCAUAUCUCCUGUGGAACACCAGCCGUCUCACAGCUUCAUCAUGCAGCUCUUCAGAAACUCUUCCUCGAAGUGUGUGAUCACAAUCAUGCAGGAGAGGGAAAAUCAGACAGAUUUGUCUGUUCAUGAACAGAAGAACAGAGUGAUUGAGGAAAACAGAAGGAAAAGUCCCAGUAAAUGGAAUCGCAUGCGUAAGGCCAUCUGAUCAUCUGAGAAUAAAAUCUGAAAAAUAAAUGUUUGUGAAGUACAUCAUUAACAUGUUCAGAAUUAUCAUAAGCAAACGUUUUACCGGAAAUAAUUUUAUACGAAAACCCAAACACACCAAACACACUUCUGCUGUAGAAUAUUUGUUUGUCUUUUACAUUUAUUCAAACAUUCAGUAAAUAAUAAUUUAAUUUGUGAGUGUGUGUGUGUGUGUGUGUGUGUGUGUGUGUGUCUGUCAGACCUGUCCCUGGUGUGUGUCGAUGCCUGUUUUUAGUCAUGUUGCUCUUGAAUGCUUGUCAUCCCUCUUCUGACUCCUCCAUCCUUACUGUGUGCUGUGUUUGGGACUGGGGUGCUGCUGGCAUGGUGGUGGUGUUCACUGUGAUCCAGGCAGGAUUUUACUACCUUCCUGUAGGACAUGUGAGUAUCACAUCAGAGAGAAGAUCAUCCUGACCUGCGGGAGUGUAGAGUGUGAUCACUGUACUGUAAACGCCACACUCUAAUGAUGAGAACAACCCACAACAGCGUCCAGGAGGGAAAAAUGGGAGCUCAUGGAAAGCGUUUGAAAUACAAUAUAAAUGGUCUACAUGCUUGUGUGGUGUGUUUGUGUGUAUUAUUGUGUGUGUGGUGGUGUGGUGUCUUCCGCUGCAGCAGUGUGUCAAGCAGAGUGAUUCCUCUGAUCAGUGCUGCCUCGGUCUUCUCUUUCCUCAUCAGUGUGUUUCUCUACACACACAGCAACACAACAGGCAAAACACACACACACGCACACAAAAUAAAGCAUUGGCAUGGGCCGUGUUUUUCACUCCGAGAGCUUCAGUGAUGUUCUACUUGAAUCAAUCCACCUUUUAAUCCCAUCAUUAUGAUGCUACGUCUA